rnacentral:rRNA from 1 species
GGGAGUGAAAAAGAACCUGAAACCGUGUACGUACAAGCAGUGGGAGCCUCUUUAUGGGGUGACUGCGUACCUUUUGUAUAAUGGGUCAGCGACUUAUAUUCUGUAGCAAGGUUAACCGAAUAGGGGAGCCGAAGGGAAACCGAGUCUUAACUGGGCGUUAAGUUGCAGGGUAUAGACCCGAAACCCGGUGAUCUAGCCAUGGGCAGGUUGAAGGUUGGGUAACACUAACUGGAGGACCGAACCGACUAAUGUUGAAAAAUUAGCGGAUGACUUGUGGCUGGGGGUGAAAGGCCAAUCAAACCGGGAGAUAGCUGGUUCUCCCCGAAAGCUAUUUAGGUAGCGCCUCGUGAAUUCAUCUCCGGGGGUAGAGCACUGUUUCGGCAAGGGGGUCAUCCCGACUUACCAACCCGAUGCAAACUGCGAAUACCGGAGAAUGUUAUCACGGGAGACACACGGCGGGUGCUAACGUCCGUCGUGAAGAGGGAAACAACCCAGACCGCCAGCUAAGGUCCCAAAGUCAUGGUUAAGUGGGAAACGAUGUGGGAAGGCCCAGACAGCCAGGAUGUUGGCUUAGAAGCAGCCAUCAUUUAAAGAAAGCGUAAUAGCUCACUGGUCGAGUCGGCCUGCGCGGAAGAUGUAACGGGGCUAAACCAUGCACCGAAGCUGCGGCAGCGACACUAU